GAGAGCAGUUUCUUUCCUCCUCAUUGUCCCCGAGUUGUUGACCUGUGCCAGUUCACUGUGCACCUUAGUUUUCUUUGUGUCUGAGACUCACCUGGAGGGGAGACAGUCAUUCUUUCCUGUGAUUCCCCAGCUACAGCGCCUGAGGCUGAAUCCUGGCUGAGGGAAAGUUUGGGUUGAUGCCAAAGCUGGUCGUCCAGCCCUAUCCACCACUGCUGACAGGUAUCAAAUCAGGAUUAACUGCCCAGAUGGGGAGCCCCUUGUACAAUGCACUGCCUGCUGAUGGAUGUCUUACCAGACAUGGUUAGAUCUGGAUGUAUCUGUCUAAUACUGUCUGGUAAUGCCGUCCAUCCAUGGCCUUAUCGCCGCCGGAGACGACAUCCUCACCACCUCAUGGACAAUGGGUAGAGACAAGGCCUUAGUCCAUUUAUCAUAACUGUCCAGGGCUGGGGCCACCAAGCCCCCUAUCCAAACAGACCACAGUUUAAAUCUACAGCUCCCCCUGGACCUGAUUGCCUUCUUCUGACGCUGUGAUAAUUUUCUGUCAUAGCUAUAGCAGAUUGAGGCCCCUGUAUCUGUCCUUUUCAGGACUAGUCGGUGGGGCUGUCACAGUGCUAUUGCCCCCCAUAGUCCACUGGACUCCACACAGAGGGACCUCAAGCUGUAGUCACCUGUCACCUGCAUAUUCUAUAGCCCCUGAGCUAUCAACAUUGGUAUGGGACCAGGGAAGAUCUAAAACCUUGGUCCUCAGUCUGCUCUCUGAAAUUCUCAGGUCAUGGGACCCAAGGGGAAUAAAAAUGGUUCUAACUACUGUGCCCAAACCCAGGGUGGAAAAUAGGUAUAUGGGUUUCAGGGACAGGGGUACUGCUAAGGUGCCAGACCAGAUAGUGGCUCAUACCCAGGAAUAAGCAGAAGGCUGCGUUCCUCUGUAUUGUCAGCCUGCUCAUGAGCUCUCUCUAUGCAGCCCACCCCUGGCUCUCAGGAUCAGAGAGCCAUCCUUCAAUCUAACUCUGGAUGUUGAAUAGCCCAACCUUAAAGACCGCCCACCCCCGUGUCCCUGAGAAUUUUCAAAAGACUGUUUCUAAAACUGUCACUCUAGAAUGACACUCCCCACCCUUAUGUCAUUUGCUGUGGUAAGAAAUAGAAAUGAACCUCUUAGACUCCAUGUGUAGGCCGUUUGCUUCAGUGCCUAGACUCCUGCAAACCUCAAGUUGGUCAAUACAGCCUGAGUCCAGCACCCUACCUCACCCACUCCUCUCUUGACGGAAUCCAACAUGCUCUGGCAGGUUUCUUAGUCCUGGUCAGGCCAUUCCCUCCAAAGAGCCAUUAUAGGGAAACUGGACUUUGCCUCCCACUGAAACCUGCUAUGCCCUAAAUGAGUGACUGAAUCCUGCAUUGGAAGUUCUAUCUACAUGGCUGAGGGACUUGUCUGCCCAUUGUGCACUCUGUAAUAGGUGGUCUCCUUAUUGUCAUCUCUUGAAGCAUUGUAAAUAAAAUACAGGCCAAAAAAAAAAAAAUCUCUGUAAGGCAAUAAAUUGUGUGAUUUGUGAAA